UCUAAUGUGGCAGAAUAUAUGCAAUGAGCUUAAAAUUCAUUUAUAAAUGAUUUCAUUUCUUUAGAA
rnacentral:tRNA from 1 species